UGUAAUUGUUUGUAAAAUUUGAAGUUGCCAAAAAUCAGUUCAGAACUGACAGCUCACAAAUGGUUCUAUUAUGUUUAAACUAAUACCUUGGGUUUCAGUAGCAUAUUAAACUGGGCAGUCAAUAGUGACCUGUUAACAACAUGGUUGAAUGAUGAUCAUUGUGAGGUCCCACAUUUCUGGGGGGGGGGGGUGGUGGUCGAGGGUCAUCUCCCCAGAAAACUUUCAAUUAAAAUUUCUGAAAUGGCAUUUGCAGCAUUUUGAGGCUACUUUUGUGAAAAAAAUACAAGUACAAUAAAUCACAAAAUGAUGUAAUUCCAAGAUAAAAUUUUGUAUUAUGGAUCACUUACAUUUAUACACUAUAAUAUAUCACAUUUGUUCUACGUUAAUUAUUUUAAUAGUACUAUUAAAGGUAGAGUACAGUCUUUAUGUAAACAAAGCCUUUGUUUACAUUUCGGUAUUUAAUUAAUUAAAAUAUUGAACUUUAUAAUAGUUUGUUUGUGGAAACACCAUGUAAAUUUAUUACUGCAAAGCUUUCGAUCCGUAAGCAUGGAUCUUCAUCAGUGCUAAUAUAGAUCCGGGCUUACGGAUCAAAAGCUUUGCAGUAAUAAAUUUAUGUGGUGUUUCCACAAACAAACUAUUAUAUGUUUUAUCGCCAUGCAAACAUACAAAUAACUUAUAUUGGACUUUAUUCAUCAACUAUUUAUAUUUUCAUGCUUCUACAAUAUAAUAAAUUAUCAAGAUACAACAAUCGGGGUUUGCAAAAGCAUAAAGUGAAAUAAAUUAAAGUGUUUAUAUUAUGGCAGGAGACUCCCAUGUGCGCAUGCACAGACCAGACUGUAUCCUAUCUUUAAUUGCUGCAUAUAAUAGCUGGACCUAUUCCAAAAUAAUCAGAUGGCAUUUAUAUGCACUGGUGAUAUGCCGAUUUGAUAAUAAAC
rnacentral:lncRNA from 1 species